GAAAAAAAACAAAAUCGAAGUUAAAAGGAAGUUGAAGCAGUUUGUAUUUAUUUAAUUGUUUUAGAACGCAUGUAAAAACCACAAACAGGCCAAUCUCGAGCAAACAGCAUUGAAUGUCAAGAUCACGUCACGUCACGUGCUGGCGGUUGUGGUGUCGGAAAAUCGAUUUGCGGUUUUCCGAUCUGGUUUCUGCCACGGUUGAUCGCGUCAAGUGCGCUGGAGAGAUAUAAAGUGGCUGUGAAGCAGUUUACCCAAUAGAUCACUCUCGGACGGAGAGUUCCAGUGGUAAUAAAACACCCUCUCACCCAAGUGUUUGCCUUGGCACUUGAGGGUUGUAAGUUGGUUGUGGUUGCCUUCGAAGGAUUUAAACAGUGAUUUAUGGCUUUUCUAUUUAUUUUUUUCAUUUUUUACCAAAUAGGACACUUCAAACUUUUUUUAAUUUGUUACUUUUGGACUACAGAUCUCAAGAAGCUUUUGUUUUCACAAAUUUAUUUAUUUAUCAUAAAUCAAUAAAAUAUGGUUUAAUUUGAAGCCACAAUGUAUGGCCAAAACAAAUAAAAUUUAUGUUAAACUAUAAAAGUGUCACAUAGAUCAAAACCAAAACCUUGAAGGAAAGUCAAUAAAAACUAAGUUGUUCUUUACUACCGUGAAAUCGAUUGGUCAAACCCCAAAAAUCAUCAACUCGCUUUGCGCAACAACCACCGACCAACAUCGAUCAGCAUCCAGAGGAACUCAAAUUUCUCACCCUCCUCCCAACUUUUCACAUGUCAAACGCUCUUGUGAUGUUUUCCCGCUGCGGAGCUAACCAACUACUUCGGGGUCGUGUAUUUACUUUAGAACGGCUUCCACAGCAGCGCUUAGCAAACCAAACAAAAAUAAAUCCAGAUCUUCGUCGCGUCCCCGUCGGGACCGCCAUCUAAUAAACAUUGAGGUGCUAACUUGUUGAGCCAUUCGGAUGGGGUUCGCGGUGCUCCGCCGGGGUGGGAUCAAUCAUCAUCGGUUGGUGGUCGGAUUUUAUUUUUCAUACAUAUCAUCAUAUACAUACUUAGUAAUUAUUCAAAAGCCGUCGGAUUUUUAACUGCAUGAAAUGUGGUUGGACAUUUCCGUGUAUUUGCAGAUUCAAAUAGUACAUGAAAUUUCCUUUAAAAUUACAUGCCCCGCAUUUUUUCGAAUGUUUAAAAAUCAGGGACCAAAGAAACAACGUUUCGCGUAAAUCGAAGAGGUCGAGGCAACUUUUUUCCGAUUUCGUGUGAGUUGGCAGAGUGUAACAGUUGCACUUGUUAGCAUUUAUUUAAUUAUUUAUUUAUUUUGGUUUUUCCGUUCGUCUUUAAAUGUAAUUUGAUCUCCGUUACCACGGUAAUCAAUGUAGGUGAUGUUAGCCCUCACGAUCGUUGGUAACUUUCGUUACUGGUUUAAGACCUGGAGAGAGAAUCUCGCGGAGGUCGCUCAUAUGUUGAAUCCCUCGGGAAGACGGAAAGGGACGGUCAGAGCCAUUGCCGACCGCUAGAGUGGGACGGGAACUCAGAUCUUUAAAGAUCCGAAGAAGCCCGAGGCAAUCUCCGGGAAACGGCGUGCCAAAAGUACGUCUGGGGCCACCUUCCCCGUUCUGAGGAAGCUAGUACUCGUUCACUUUGUCCCAGACCUUUGUGAAGUGUGGAGUGCGCGGACUUUUAUCCCGGGUUCCCCAGUCCAGUCCUGAGAUCUCGUCGAAGCUAGAAUUGUGUGCGAUAGUGUGUGCGACGAAGUGAGCCCUAGUGCGGCCUAGAUAAAGAUCAGUUCGAAGGCUUCGCUUCCUUUCGCCCUACCAGCCAAGCAGCACCAGUAGGAGGUCGAGCGCGCGUCCACCGCCGCCCCGCAUCGAGUGUGGGACAAGUUUUGACCUGGCACACGUUACAUCGCCAGAAGAGACGAGCCGUCAACAUCUCGUCUGGAGGCGUUUCUAUCCGCCCACGUGCUGGCCCGGUAAGCCAAGUUCCGGCCCGCGCAACAUCAUCGAAGUCGACCGCGCCCUCGCAGGUCGAACCGGCAGCGUCGGCCACGCCGUCCGCGAGCACGCGGUGAACAUCAGUAGCAGCAUCAACAAGUAACAGGUGCAGCAGUCCGGUGAGUCCGUUCUUUUUCUGCGGGUGAAGGGUGACGGCAACGAAAGGCGUCACGAACGUUUUUCCGUUCCGGCUGCGGCCGUAAAGCGGACGCCAUUUUGAUGGAGGGCGUCCAUUUUGUUUAAGCGCGUGUUGAUCACGCGCCCGGAGUGUGUCGGCCUUUAUUGACUCGCCCCACACGUCCACGACAUCGCACUCUAGUGCCUUUGUCUGCCGCAGUCCGCUUGACUGCCGGUGACGUCAGCGAUCAGCUGUUCCAGCUGACGAGCUGAAGAUUUGAGGUCGAAGGUUUGAAGCACAAAAGCACGGGGUAACAGAAGAACGAAGAGUAGACAGUAGGAAGAGCAAACGCACACAGUAGGGAGAUGUCUAGCCGCUGGAACAGAACAAUGAAUGAAAUACACAAACCUUAGACUAGUCCAAUAAAAUGAGCACCUCUUUCUGAUUUCCUACCUACUAAAUAAUGAGUUAUUGUUUUGGAGUUAAAUAAAGUCCCUGCAGUUAAAAUGAGCUCACGUGUUAGUUUUUUUGGUCGAUCCGGAACGCUGCUUCCGUCACUUUAGGGUCCGUUGCCAGUCCUUUCCUCCCCAAUGCAAAAGUUCUGCGUAUUUCCCAUGCUUCGUGAAGUUCUCUGGUGGCGGGUGUCGGUACUACCCAUGAUGAUUCAUACGCAGCCCUCUGUCACUGCCGCCAUGUUUAUGAAACCAAAAUAUUCGAUGACGAACAUCAAAAAAACAAAGAAGAAAACGAAGUUGUCUACUGUCAGAUUAUGAAUAAUAAACAAAGUGCAUAUACGUUUCUUAAAUUAUGUUCUUGUUACACUUGCCGCAUGUCCAGGACUCUUUUAAGAAUGUUCCUUCCACCAAGACAUUUUCGUUCCCCGGUCCCAGAUUUUCCCGGUCGAUUCGGAUUUUUCCUUAAAACUGGUUCAUCCUUCUUUGCUUUUGUAAAGGUUCUUUACUUACUCAACGACUUACUCCUGACGGGUUCUUGCUCCGAAACAACGAGAACCGGUUCCGGUACCAGUCUUCGGAAGAGGUGAAAUUAUUUCUGCUUCUCCGGUUGCUCAUCCCGCCAGCCUAUCUAAGAGCUCCUUCGAUUCCGGCUCCAUACACACACGAUAUACGUCCGGAAAUAUGACCAAGAUAAAAAGGACCACUCACCACUUAAACCGAAUUUUGUAAUAUUAAUACACAAAAAUAUUAUUUUUGGUUAACUUUUUUCACGUUCGCCAUUUCUCUAUUUUGAUGUAAACAAUAAGAAGACACCAAUACUUCUUCAUCCAAAGCUUUGUUUAUGGUGGGCUCUUCACACAUACUAAUGCAAAUACUCUAUCCAAUACUUUGUUUAUGGUGGGCUCUUCACAUAUACUAAUGCGUGGGCUCUUCGAGGUUUUGGUAACUGUCAAACGUUCUAGACACUUACAGUAGUGCCAGAGGGCUGUUCAUACGGGCACGGGGGGGGUCCUAUACUGGCGGAUUGCUAAGGAGCUUUUUCGGGAGGCUGAGCUUUCCGUACCGUUCUUGUGGGUCACUUUGGUACGCUGGCCGAUUCGAUCUUGCUUCUUCCCUGGGAAGAAGUUCAACCGAGCACCUCUUCGAGAGUCUCAAACCGGGCAAAUUUAACAUGGCGGGCAGUCUCGUGGCGCAGGGGUAGCGGCUUCGGCUGCCGAUCCCGAUGAUGCUAUGAGACGCGGGUUCGAUUCCCGCCUUAUCCACUGAGCUUCUAUCGGAUGGUGAAGUAAAACGUCGGUCCCGGUUUCUCCUGUCUCGUCAGAGGCGCUGGAGCAGAAAUCCCACGUUAGAGGAAGGCCAUGCCCCGGGGGGCGUAGUGCCAAUAGUUUCGUUUUUGCCCUCACGGGAGUGGCGCAUAAGCUGCACCGUUCGCAACCGAUCGAAUCGCAACGGCUACAAGAGAAUGACCCAUUUUACUUUCGAACUACUUAUCGAAUGUUCAAACAAAUACCUCAUUGACAAAGACAAAAUAAUUUGGCGCUGGUUUGCAGCGAAAAAAAAAAAAUUAAUACGCCGUGAGUUGGUUUUUUUUUUGUAUUCUUAACUUAUUUCUCUCAUGAUAGCGUGCACCUCCACAGCAUCCAGGUUGUGCGAUUCCUUGAGGUACUUCUUGACGUAUUCAGGUGAAGCCGGUGGAAGUCCUCUGACGUUGACGAGGCUUCGUUUCUCGGCAGAAAAAACAACCGCUGUCUUCGGCUGUCAGGCGAAAACUCAGUCCGUGAGGUGGUUGAUGCCUCCCUCACAAUCAUAGGGGAGAGUGGGGGGACUUGAUCCCCGGGGACACUUGAUCCCAAGCCUGUAUCUCGUCAGCAUGUAGGUAAAACAAUUAGCUUUGUUCUAGAAAGUUGUGCGAAAUCGACUAAAACUUAUUGUAGAAAACAAGGAAAAAAAUUAAAAAAUGUUUAGAUUGAGUUACACACAUUUUUCUAAAAAGUGCUGCAAAAAACUUCCAAGAGAUCUUUUUUCUUUGUUUUGAUAAGUAUAGAAAACAUUCAAAAAUUAUUUAAAAAAAAUAUUUUUUAUACCUGAAUUGUUUGAUAAACAUAUCAACUCCAAAACCCUUACGCAUUCGACGUUAAAUUUAUCGUCAUACUAUUUUUACUAUCAAUUGUUUAAAAAAGUGCGUUUAGGGAGACUUGAUCCCUGCAUUUUUACAGUCACUGGAAUCAGCCUCAAGAUUAAAUAAUUGGGCUGGGUUUUCGUACAUAGUUUCCUUUAGUAUAGUUGUACAUAACUUACUGCAGUUUUAACCAUUUUUCAAAACUUUUGCAAACAAAAAUUACCAGCUUUUGUAAACUUGCUCAAUUUUGGUCUAAAAAAGAAAAUUUCAAGUUUUUAAAUAUAUUGCAUGCUAAACUUGUUAUAUUUUGAACACAAACGUACAGGUUUAAUGUGAAAUUGCUGUAACUUAUAGAAAAUUUAAAGUUUGGAUGAAUAAGAAACAUUUUGCUUAAAAUUUCUUCAAAAUGUUGAAAUGGGGAUCAAAUUACCCCCAACAUUUUGAAAAUGCCGGUUUAAAAUAUUUUUUUUAAACGCUUGGCAUGAUUCGAAGAGUUUGUCUGAUGUAAUACCCUUAUCAGCCAAACAAAGUUGAAUGUUCAAGCUUUCAAUUCAUGCAAAAAGUUCAUAGUUUUGUGAGAAAUUGACAGAGUUAUGUGCGAUACAAAAAAAGGGGAUCAAGUCUCCCCACUCUCCCCUAUAGUUUUGUUUCUGGACUUUUACAUUUUAAGAUAUGAAUUCCGAAAUCCGGAUCUUCCGGUGGCCUGUACUCCGGCCACCAGUUUGUGCAGUAUGAUUUUUCAUUGGAUUAUUGUACCUGGUGCAAAAAAGAAGCUUUUGAUGUAUAACAAUCGAUGGUUUGCGCGAAACUAUAUUGGGGUGAUUUUUUGGAUCCUUUUAUCCCACUGUGCAAUGUUUUACAUUUGUUUAUAGAACCUUAUGAAUGAGAAAUGUUCUCUGAAUAUAAUUCAAAUUUGUCAGGGGAGUUCUUUGGCCAAAAUAAUAUGACCCGUAUUUUUUUUUUGUUUGGCGAUUAGGGUGGUGGUUAUCCAAAAUAGGGUGGUCCAAAAAAUAGCAUAGCAUAGCAUAGCAUUGGUGUCUACCCGUAGCUGCUUUUCGUUAUUGACCAGGACCUCCAAAAAUUGCUCCGUGAACCACAGAUGAAAAUUAGGAACCAAUCAUCACCCCUUCGCAAUUUUCAAAGGUCCCUAUCAUGCUGAUCAAUACCGACGCCGGCCACGACCAUUGGUAAGACACGGGGAAGUGGAUGGGAAUGUUAGUCCGAUACUUGAGUGAUGGGACCGCUAAAUCGGCUGCGUCUCCGACAAAGUAUUGCAUGAGUUUUGAGGGGUUAGUAAGAUGGGUAUGAGGUCAGGAUUCACUGUGGUAGGCGAUGCGACCAUAAGCAAUUUGUUUAUCUGUUAAAAUUUUAAAAAUCUUAGGCAGCCGGCUGCGGAAAGAUACAUAAUUGAUUAUUUAAAAACUUUUUAAAUCGAACGCGUGCCAACCGAGCAGUAGUGCUAUGGGCUGGACUUAUCAGUAUAUUUUUACUGUUUAUACGAUAACGCGAAUAAAUUUCAAAAAUAGUAAAUAAAAGACGCUUUACUCUUCAUAAAAUGGAUAGUUUGAUGAGUUAAUACUAAAACUGCCAGUUGGAAUAAAUUAUUACGAUUAACAAAUUUUAACGAAAAGAAAAGAGACGAGUAAACGAUUGUGAUGAAAUUAAAGCAAUAACUUAAACGAACUAAACCGGCGAUUCUUUUUUCGCUCCAAUCUGUGUGCCUCUGCGGUG